GGUUCGGUAGCCGAGUGGGUACAGCUCUUAUAGCUUUUUAAGCGAAUAUCGAUGGUUCGAAUCCAUCCCGGAGCA